GAGCUUGAAGUUUUACUUAUUUAGAGAUCAAAAAUACUUUUACAUUACAAUUAAAGGAGUUAAAACAUGGCUCAAAUACUCAUGUUCGUUAGUGUUUUGAUCAUCUUUCUUUCUCUUUUUUUGGCUGAUACCAAACAAACUAAUAUUCCUUGUGAGAAUAAACGUGAUUGUCCACAACCGUUAUAUCCUAAAUUUGUGACGUGCUUUGAAGGUUUAUGUCGGAUGCAUUAUCCACUAAAAAAAAUUUAAAAUAAUUAUCUUUCCUUAAAUCAUUGAAUAAUAUUUGUAUUCUACCAAAAAUAAUAAUAAUAUAUGUACCUUUAUUGUGGACUAUUAAAUUUGAAAAUAAUUAUGUUUCCUAAAUUCAUAUAAUAAUGUUUGUGUUAUGUUUCUAAGGCCUAGAUGGCCCUUCAUACAGUUCAGAACAGUUGUUCCCCAAGCUAUAGGUUGAGGAAAUCGGACUCUAGCUUGAUAGAAGCUUUCACAGAUCCAACAUUUAACUAGAAGCACGUUCUUUGAGCUUGAACAUUAGUGUCUCCCAAAAUAAUAUGAGUAUUUUUGAGGUGGAAAUACUUAGUGUAAGUAAACACAGUCUAGGUUAUAGUAUAAAAAGAUAUUGAUAUCAUAGGGACUGUAAAUCUAUAGCUUCAUGUAGCUUUUCAGCAUAAAACUUGUUUGUAAGAAAAUAAAAUAAAUCAUUUGUCCCAACAAUAAAUCUAAAAAGUUAAGUUGGGAAAACAGUUUAAAA